UAGGGAAUCUUCCGCAAUGGACGCAAGUCUGACGGAGCAACGCCGCGGGGGUGAAGAAGGAUUUCGGUUCGUAAAACUCUGUUGUUAGAGAAGAACAGCGCAUAGAGUAACUGUUAUGCGUGUGACGGUAUCUAACCAGAAAGCCACGGCUAACUACGUGCCAGCAGCCGCGGUAAUACGUAGGUGGGAAGCGUUGUCCGGAUUUAUUGGGCGUAAAGCGAGCGUAGGCGGUUUUUUAAGUCUGGUGUGAAAGCCCACGGCUCAACCGUGGAGGGUCAUUGGAAACUGGAAAACUUGAGUGCAGAAGAGGAAAGGGGAAUUCCAUGUGUAGCGGUGAAAUGCGCAGAGAUAUGGAGGAACACCAGUGGCGAAGGCGACUCUCUGGUCUGUAGCUGACGCUGAGGCUCGAAAGCGUGGGUAGCAAACAGG
rnacentral:rRNA from 1 species